rnacentral:rRNA from 1 species
UACGUAGGGUGCGAGCGUUGUCCGGAAUUAUUGGGCGUAAAGAGCUCGUAGGCGGUUUGUCGCGUCGGCCGUGAAAACUUGGGGCUUAACCCCAAGCUUGCGGUCGAUACGGGCAGACUUGAGUUCGGCAGGGGAGACUGGAAUUCCUGGUGUAGCGGUGAAAUGCGCAGAUAUCAGGAGGAACACCGGUGGCGAAGGCGGAUCUCUGGGCCUUACCUGACGCUCAGGCGCGAAAGCUAGGGGAGCGAACAGG